CCACCACCAUCACCUUUGAUUUUCAUCAAGACAGGAUCAAACACUUGCUUCUCCUUAAUCUCUUCACCAAUAAAUGAUCAAACCUUUUCUCUUUGAUACUUGAUAUGAUUUGAUAAGCAAGUGUACUUAAUGAUGAGAAAGAUUAUUUUGAGAUUUAGUCGAGUUAGGAAUCCACAAGUUGAUUAUGAUUUACAAGUGAGAUAUAUAUUUAUAUUUUGGUCU
rnacentral:lncRNA from 1 species